GCCGGGCACGGUGGCGUGUGCCUGUAGUCCCAGCUACUCGGGAGGCUGGAGGAUCUCUUGUGUCCAGGAGCUCUGGGCUGUAGUGCGCUAUGCUGAUCGGGUGUCCGCACUAAAUUCGGCAUCAAUAUGGUGACCUCCAGAGAGUGGGGGACCACCAGGUUGCCUAAGGAGGGGUGAACCGGCCCAGGUCAGAAACAGAGCAGGUCAAAACUCCCGUGCUGAUCAGUAGUGGGAUUGCACCUGUGAAUAGCCACUGCACUCCAGCCUGGGCAAUAUAGCAAGACCCU
rnacentral:SRP_RNA from 1 species